CAGUCGCCGCGGUAAUACGAAGGGGGCUAGCGUUGUUCGGAUUUACUGGGCGCAAAGCGCACGUAGGCGGAUCGAUCAGUCAGGGGUGAAAUCCCAGAGCUCAACUCUGGAACUGCCUUUGAUACUGUCGAUCUGGAGUAUGGAAGAGGUGAGUGGAAUUCCGAGUGUAGAGGUGAAAUUCGUAGAUAUUCGGAGGAACACCAGUGGCGAAGGCGGCUCACUGGCUCAUUACUGACGCUGAGGCGCGAAAGCGUGGGGAGCAAACAGGAUUAGAUACCCGCGUAGUCCCUGUCUCUUAUAC
rnacentral:rRNA from 1 species